rnacentral:rRNA from 1 species
AAUAGAUACCCCGGUAGUCCACGCCGUAAACGAUGAGUGCUAAGUGUUGGGGGGGUUUCCGCCCCUCAGUGCUGCAGCUAACGCAUUAAGCACUCCGCCUGGGGAGUACGGCCGCAAGACUGAAACUCAAAGGAAUUGACGGGGGCCCGCACAAGCGGUGGAGCAUGUGGUUUAAUUCGAAGCAACGCGAAGAACCUUACCAGGUCUUGACAUCCCGGUGACCACUAUGGAGACAUAGUUUCCCCUUCGGGGGCAACGGUGACAGGUGGUGCAUGGUUGUCGUCAGCUCGUGUCGUGAGAUGUUGGGUUAAGUCCCGCAACGAGCGCAACCCUUAUUCUUAGUUGCCAUCAUUCAGUUGGGCACUCUAAGGAGACUGCCGGUGAUAAACCGGAGGAAGGUGGGGAUGACGUCAAAUCAUCAUGCCCCUUAUGACCUGGGCUACACACGUGCUACAAUGGACGGUACAAACGGUUGCCAACCCGCGAGGGGGAGCUAAUCCGAUAAAACCGUUCUCAGUUCGGAUUGUAGGCUGCAACUCGCCUACA